rnacentral:rRNA from 1 species
CCUACGGGGUGCAGCAGUGAGGAAUAUUGGUCAAUGGACGAGAGUCUGAACCAGCCAAGUAGCGUGAAGGAUGACUGCCCUAUGGGUUGUAAACUUCUUUUAUAUGGGAAUAAAAUGUUCCACGUGUGGGAUUUUGUAUGUACCAUAUGAAUAAGGAUCGGCUAACUCCGUGCCAGCAGCCGCGGUAAUCCGGAGGAUCCGAGCGUUAUCCGGAUUUAUUGGGUUUAAAGGGUGCGUAGGUGGAUUGUUAAGUCAGUUGUGAAAGUUUGCGGCUCAACCGUAAAAUUGCAGUUGAAACUGGCAGUCUUGAGUACAGUAGAGGUGGGCGGAAUUAGUGGUGUAGCGGUGAAAUGCUUAGAGAUCACGAAGAACUCCGAUUGCGAAGGCAGUUCACUGGACUGCAACUGACACUGAGGCUCGAAAGUGUGGGUAUCAAACAGGAUUAGAUACCCCUGUAGUC